CGUGCUUAACACAUGCAAGUCGAACGAUGAAGCUGGAGCUUGCUCCAGCGGAUUAGUGGCAGACGGGUGAGUAACGCGUGGGAACCUUCCCAAUGGUACGGAAUAGCUCAGGGAAACUUGAGGUAAUACCGUAUAAGCCCCUAGGGGGAAAGAUUUAUCGCCAUUGGAUGGGCCCGCGUCGGAUUAGCUAGUUGGUGAGGUAAUGGCUCACCAAGGCGACGAUCCGUAGCUGGUUUGAGAGAAUGACCAGCCACACUGGGACUGAGACACGGCCCAGACUCCUACGGGAGGCAGCAGUGGGGAAUCUUGGACAAUGGGCGCAAGCCUGAUCCAGCCAUGCCGCGUGAGUGACGAAGGCCUUAGGGUUGUAAAGCUCUUUUGCCAGGGACGAUAAUGACGGUACCCGGAGAAUAAGUCCCGGCUAACUUCGUGCCAGCCGCCGCAGUAA
rnacentral:rRNA from 1 species